rnacentral:pre_miRNA from 1 species
AAUAAGACCAUUUUUCAGUUUUUUGAUACAAUGUUUCGACUCUUCAUCUUAUUUGAAACUUUUUUGUGAUUAAUAUUUUUAUUCUUACUGGAUGAUAAAAUAUUUUUGUGACUAAUUGUUUUUUAAGUUUUUAUAUAAAUUUUUUAAAUAAGACGAAUGGUCAAACGUUGGAUAUGAAAAA